UACGUAGGGGGCAAGCGUUGUCCGGAUUUACUGGGCGUAAAGAGCGUGUAGGCGGCCAAGCAGGUCCGUUGUGAAAACUGGAGGCUUAACCUCCAGACGUCGACGGAAACCGCGUGGCUAGAGUCCGGAAGAGGAGAGUGGAAUUCCUGGUGUAGCGGUGAAAUGCGCAGAUAUUAGGAAGAACACCAAUGGCGAAGGCAGCUCUCUGGGACGGUACUGACGCUGAGACGCGAAAGCGUGGGGAGCGAACAGG
rnacentral:rRNA from 1 species